UGACCUCGGAUCAGGUAGGGAUACCCGCUGAACUUAAGCAUAUCAAUAAGCGGAGGAAAAGAAACCAACCGGGAUUGCCUCAGUAACGGCGAGUGAAGCGGCAAGAGCUCAAAUUUGAAAGCUGGCUCCUUCGGAGUCCGCAUUGUAAUUUGCAGAGGAUGCUUUGGGUGCGGCCCCCGUCUAAGUGCCCUGGAACGGGCCGUCAGAGAGGGUGAGAAUCCCGUCUUGGGCGGGGUGUCCGUGCCCGUGUAAAGCUCCUUCGACGAGUCGAGUUGUUUGGGAAUGCAGCUCUAAAUGGGUGGUAAAUUUCAUCUAAAGCUAAAUACUGGCCGGAGACCGAUAGCGCACAAGUAGAGUGAUCGAAAGAUGAAAAGCACUUUGAAAAGAGAGUUAAACAGCACGUGAAAUUGUUGAAAGGGAAGCGCUUGCGACCAGACUCGCCCGCGGGGUUCAGCCGGCAUUCGUGCCGGUGUACUUCCCCGUGGGCGGGCCAGCGUCGGUUUGGGCGGCCGGUCAAAGGCCCCUGGAAUGUAGUACCCUCCGGGGUACCUUAUAGCCAGGGGUGCAAUGCGGCCAGCCUGGACCGAGGAACGCGCUUCGGCACGGACGCUGGCAUAAUGGUCGUAAACGACCCGUCUUGAAACACGGACCAAGGAGUCUAACAUCUACGCGAGUGUUCGGGUGUCAAACCCGUGCGCGCAGUGAAAGCGAACGGAGGUGGGAGCCCCCUCGCGGGGCGCACCAUCGACCGAUCCUGAUGUCUUCGGAUGGAUUUGAGUAAGAGCGUAAAUGUGGGGACCCGAAAGAUGGUGAACUAUGCCUGAAUAGGGCGAAGCCAGAGGAAACUCUGGUGGAGGCUCGCAGCGGUUCUGACGUGCAAAUCGAUCGUCAAAUUUGGGUAUAGGGGCGAAAGACUAAUCGAACCAUCUAGUAGCUGGUUCCUGCCGAAGUUUCCCUCAGGAUAGCAGUAACGCAAAAUCAGUUUUAUGAGGUAAAGCGAAUGAUUAGAGGCAUUGGGGUUGAAACAACCUUAACCUAUUCUCAAACUUUAAAUAUGUAAGAAGCCCUUGUUGCUUAGUUGAACGUGGGCAUUAGAAUGGAGCGUUACUAGUGGGCCAUUUUUGGUAAGCAGAACUGGCGAUGCGGGAUGAACCGAACGCGAGGUUAAGGUGCCGGAAUGCACGCUCAUCAGACACCACAAAAGGUGUUAGUUCAUCUAGACAGCCCGACGGUGGCCAUGGAAGUCGGAAUCCGCUAAGGAGUGUGUAACAACUCACGGGCCGAAUGAACUAGCCCUGAAAAUGGAUGGCGCUCAAGCGUGCUACCCAUACCUCGCCGUCGGGGUAGAAACGAUGCCCCGACGAGUAGGCAGGCGUGGGGGUCCGUGACGAAGCCUUGGGAGUGAUCCCGGGUCGAACGGCCCCUAGUGCAGAUCUUGGUGGUAGUAGCAAAUACUCAAAUGAGAACUUUGAGGACUGAAGUGGGGAAAGGUUCCAUGUGAACAGCAGUUGGACAUGGGUUAGUCGAUCCUAAGGCAUAGGGAAGUUCCGUUUGAAAGGCGCCCUCGUGCGCCGUGUGCCGAAAGGGAAGCCGGUUAAUAUUCCGGCACCUGGAUGUGGAUUCUCCACGGCAACGUAACUGAACGCGGAGACAUCGGCGGGGGUCCUGGGAAGAGUUCUCUUUUCUUCUUGACGGCCUAUCACCCUGAAAUCGGUUUGUCCGGAGCUAGGGUUCCACGGCCGGCAGAGCCCUGCACCUUUGCAGGGUCCGGUGCGCCCCCGACGAUCCUUGAAAAUCCGCGGGAAGGAAUAGUUUUCACGCCAGGUCGUACUCAUAACCGCAGCAGGUCUCCAAGGUGAACAG
rnacentral:rRNA from 1 species